rnacentral:tRNA from 1 species
GGAGAGUUAUCCUAAUUUGAUAAGGAAGUAGUCUACUAAACUACCGCCAAUACGGCUUAUAGGUUCGAAUCCUAUACUCUCCG